rnacentral:lncRNA from 1 species
CCGAGACCUCUGCCUUACAAGGCCGACUCUGCUCAGGCCCCGCGGACCGCCGGGUAUCCGCUCAGCGCAGGGCGCGGCCGACCCGCGGGUCGUGGGAACCGCUGGGCAGGGGGCGGCGGGGCCCCUCACCUGGCUCUGGGGCCCCCCGGGGACGACCGGACCCCGAUCUCUCCGCCCCGCAGGACGCGCGUUGACGGUCGCCCGUAUGCAGCGCCACCAUCCCGGCCGCUCUUCCAAUCUCGCCUUUCUCCGGGCACCUGCCGCCCCUCCCCCGCUCCCCAGACAGGCUUUGCGGAGGGGGCUCAUUCCGCCCGGGGCUGCCCGGCCCUCCGCAGGAGUUGGCUCCCCACAAGGUUCCGGGGCCGAGAUGACAGGGCGGUUCUGUGGUGCUGGGUGCUGGGACUUGAGGGGCAUAGGGGCACCUGCCCUGGAGGAGGCCGAGGCGCAGCCCCCCAGGAGGAAGGGGUGCCUCUGGUGACUUUCAGCUGGACUCUUCCAGCUGGACUCUAGUGCAGCUGAGCUCCUCCCCCAGCCCCGGCUCUGUCCCUGCACCAGGUGUCCAGCAGGCCCUGGAAUCCGCAAAGGCAGAAGGGGAAGUUGGGGUGCUGGGUGCUGGGCAGGGGGUGCUGAGGCCUCACAGCCCGGCGGCUUGGCCCCCACCCACCCCACGGUGGUCCCGCGCCCCACACUUCCUCUCCUCUCCUGUGGUUUCUCCUUCCACUCAGUGCUGCCCAGAGAUGGGCUUCUGUCUAGUUCUCCUGAGAAAUUCCACACUCGCAGCUGGGAAGUCGGGGGACCCCCGAAGCUGUGCGGCGGCCACGCUGCGGCUCCUGCUUCCCUCCUGCUCGGGUGCGGGCUCGGCUGCCUUCUCGUCCCGCGGAGCCCGGAGUGCCUCCCCCUCGGGUAGAUCCUACUAACAGCAUCAAAGAAAUAAUGAAAUAAUCUCUCCUUGGUGUGUUCUUACCGUCCUAAUAGGCACAAGGGGACUCUUCAGUGCAUUUUCCAAAACCUGUACAAACUCUCUUGACAUAAAUGCAGUGAGUUUACAAUAAAAUCGCAGUGGGAGGUAACGUCAGGCUUCAGAGGCAGACAUGGUCCUGGAGCCUUUGGGAGGAGAGGAGAGGAGAGGCAGCGGGCGCGGGGCGGCGUCCAGGGGGCUGAGCGAGGUCUGGGCAGGAGGACAGAGCUGAGCCUUGGGCUGCCCUGGCCCCUGCGCAGGACACACAGUGACCGGGGCUGGGGUGGGCACCCCGGUUCUACCGUCGGGAGUCGGCGUGUUCAUGGAGUCUGUUUCCUUGUCUGUGGGUGAAACUUUGGCUUGGGGUCACGGGUGUGUUAUUUCCCAGCGACAGUCGGUUCAGUCAGCACUUACAAAAUCACCAGAAACAGGGGCACAGGAUCUUGCUCAGCAGGGAGAGGUGGAUCCUGAUUCGGGACUCCAGGCUCUUCACCUGGCCAUGGCUGCCCGUCCGGUGGCCCUUCCUGGCCCCCAGCUCUUGCUCCACUGCCAGACCUGGACAGCCUCCAUUAACCCUGCAAUUACUGAAAACCGACUCACAGCCAAUGAUGUGAUCCACGCCAAGUGUCCCGUUAUAAGAUGUUUCCUGGGGAUCCUUAGAAAAUCACUACAAAUGGGUUGAACAACAGGGCUUUCCUCUUACGGCUUAGGAGGCCAGAAGUCCGAGAUCAAGGCCUGUGCGCUCCGGAGGUUCCCACCUCUUCCAGCUUCUGUGGCUCCAGGCGGUCCUGGGUGGUGGCCGCAUGGCUCCACCUCUGCCCCUGUCCUCACGGGGCCUCCUCCCCCGAGUUAGUGUGUCUGUCUCUUCCUUUGCUUAUCGGGACACCUGUCACUGGAUUUAAGGGCCGCCAGGAGAAGCUGGGAUAAUCUCAAGAUCUUUAAUCGAAUUACAUCUACAAAGAUCCUA